AAAUAAAAUAAAAAUGAGAGGAAAAGGGAAGGGAAGAGAAGGCAAUAGAAAGAGGGGCGGGAGGCAGCCAGAAAAGGGAAGGAAACGAGCUGCUCGCGGAGGUCGAAGCGGAUGAGGCGCUGAGCACUCUGGGCACCGUUGUGAAAGGAUCGCAAGGACGGGUCGAAUCGAAAGAGAAGAAGAUUACUCUCUCUGAGGAGCAGGAGGAGGAGGAGGAGUACCAACAACAAAUGUGAGAGAGGGGGAGGAAGAAGCGAGGAAUAAGAGAUCGUUACCAGCUUCUUUUUGAUUCUCAAGCUGGCAAGGCUUCUUUGCCUCCUCCUCAGUGUUGUUAGUCCACAUGAUGCUUCCUUUUCUCGUGUAGCAAGAUCGACAAUUCUUCGUCCUGAUUGGUAGGGUUCCCCGGAACACACGAAAGAUUGGAUCUUUAUGGAAAUUUCUGCUUGUCUGGUCUUUCUCGAGGGAAUUUUUUCGGUUCUGAGUGGUGAAUUUGAUCCGCAAGAUAGUUCGCUUGAUCUGUAUUCUUGUUAAUGAAGUUUCUUUCUUGUCUCCCCUUUCUUCUUGUAUUAAUUUAUUCACCAUGCUGAUGUUUAUUCCUCUCUAGCAGAUUGUGGAUUCAUAACUUUGAGAGGGGCAUAGGUAGAUAUCUCAAACUUGUUUCCAGUGAGGGCCUGGAUUUCGGUCGCGCGUCGAAAACAUGUUGGAGAGCCAGUCGUUUUUGAUCUCCAGAGCAUUGCCGAGCUCCUGUGAGCAAGAAUCGAAAUUGGCUUACAUGACUUACCAUCUCCUUGAGAUCACUACCAACAAACGCCCUACGAUCGUGGAAUCUUUAGAGCUAAAUGAAGCUGCUAUGAUAAAGAAGGCUAAAUCUGCAGACGACCUGGGACCUCCCUUUCAGGAAGAAAAAGCAUUGCCUCUUGAUGAAUCCAAUUAUAAUGGCCAGCACUCUGAUACAAAUUCUCUUAUUGGUCAAAUCGGCUGCGACAUGUCUAUAAAGUGUCUCCUUCACUGCUCUCGGUCGGACUUUGGUGCCCUUGCAUCGCUGAACCGGGCUUUCAAUUCCCUGUUCCGGACUGGUGAGCUCUACAAGCUACGGCGGCAGACUGGGAUCAUCGAGCACUGGGUGUACUUCUCUUGCAACAUACUUGAGUGGGAAGCAUAUGAUCCCUAUUGUGGGCGCUGGAUUACUCUUCCAAAAAUGCCUCAGAAUGAUUUCUUCAUGCGCUCUGAUAAGGAAUCGCUGGCUGUGGGCACCGAGCUCCUCGUUUUUGGAAGGGACUACACCUCGCGUAUUGCCCAUAUAGUGCUGAGGUAUAGCAUUCUGACGAAUUCUUGGUCCCAAGGUAUUGAAAUGAACUCCCCUAGGUGCUUGUUUGGAUCCGCCAGCUUUGGCGAAGUAGCUAUCGUUGCCGGUGGUGUAGAUGCUCAAAAUACUAUAUUGAGUUCUGCAGAGCUCUAUAAUUCUGAGACGCAAACGUGGGUAACACUUCCUAGCAUGAAUAAACCAAGGAAAAUGUGUUCAGGUGUCUUUAUGGACAACAAGUUCUAUGUGAUUGGCGGAAUGCGUAGCCCUACCGAAUUGCUGACGUGCGGGGAAGAAUAUGAUACGGAGAGACAUAGCUGGAGGGUCAUUCCAAAUAUGUCUCUAGGACUGAAUGGUCCAAGUGGUGCACCUCCAUUGGUGGCAGUAGUCAAUAAUGAGCUAUAUGCAGCUGAUUAUGCAGAAAAGGAGGUCAGGAAGUAUGACAAGGAGAAUAACUCUUGGGUCACUCUUGGAAGAUUGCCUGAGAGACCAGAUUCAGUGAACGGUUGGGGUCUAGCUUUUCGGGCUUGUGGUGAUCGACUCCUAGUGAUCGGUGGACCGAGGGUGCUUGGGGGAGGGAUGAUUGAACUGAAUUCAUGGACACCGAGAGAUGGACCUCCAGAGUGGAACCUGAUUGCUAGGAAGCACUGUGGAAGCUUUGUGUAUAACUGUGCUGUAAUGGGCUGCUGAGAUUUGUCUGAAGAUACGCUGCAUAUCUUCUUGCAGUACGAGUAUGUGCAAGAUUGGCUGGUCAAAGGGCAUAAAACACCGAUUGUGCCAGGGCACUCUGGCUUUCGAAAAUUUCAGAUUUGAUAGGGCAAUCACUUUCUACUAUGUAAAACUCGAGAUACAUCUUCUUCCUUUCAUCUUCUAGCUUUGCCUUCAUCUAAUCUAAAGCCAAAUAUAUUUAACUUCUUCCAAAUUGCCCUUCAACAGGAUAGUGUUCUCGUGGAUCAUGCAGGAAAAUGGCACAUAAUAAUUCGGUGUAGCUGCAUGUUCAUUGGUUCCCUUGGAACUCUUCGAGCUUGUUAGCUUUCCAGUGUGGUGUCAGUCAUCAAACACCGGAUUCCUCUCCUCUCCAAUUUAAACAUGCAAACUUAGGAAGAUUUCUGAGAAGCAACCCUAGUUGGACAAGAAUGGAGAAUCAGAGGGGGUAGUCGAGUUGCAAGUUUUAUGGGGUUCUACACGUAUGUUUAAGAUUGAACUCUUUUAAUUACUUUUCUAUGCCUGGAGUUUGAUGCUCGCCCAUUGUCCAUCUCGCAUCUGUCUUUUUUAUGGAUCCAUAAGGAUGAAGACUUACUGUGAAAACAUAUGUGCAAUUAUUGAACAUAUUAAAUAGAAGAAAUUAAUUGAUGAGGUUAUUUCCCUGAGAUAAAUGCCUGCUGUUAAGAGUGGGAAGCUGUUUUCUGUUAAUGUGGCUCGAUCAGCCUCUUGUAUGUUUAUAUCUCCGUUUCUACUUGUGC